rnacentral:rRNA from 1 species
CAGUCGCCGCGGUAAUACGUAGGUGGCAAGCGUUGUCCGGAAUUAUUGGGCGUAAGGGGCGCGUAGGCGGACUGAUAAGUCAGGGGUGAAAUCCCAAGGCUCAACCUUGGAACUGCCUUUGAUACUGUUUGUCUUGAGUUCAAGAGAGGUAAGUGGAACUGCGAGUGUAGAGGUGAAAUUCGUAGAUAUUCGCAAGAACACCAGUGGCGAAGGCGGCUUACUGGCUCGAAACUGACGCUGAGGCGCGAAAGCGUGGGGAGCAAACAGGAUUAGAUACCCGUGUAGUCCCUGUCUCUUAUAC